GGUGGCUGAGGAGGCCACAGAUCGGGCUUCGGGGCUCAGCAAUGCCCAGCAGCUGUGGUCAGGAAGUCCUCCUGCACAGGCUUCAUCCCUGGGCAUGCUCAUGCCUGGGGAAGAGAAGCACACACCUACUGGAGGCAGGCACAGGUAGACCAGCCCUGUGACCACUCCUGAAUUGCACAGGGGAGCCAGACAGGGAGCUGGGAGUCAGACUCAGAUUGUCUUCACCCAGGCUGUUUCCGAUUCCCUUUGCAAAGGAAGAUGUUUGAACAAUGGCUUCAAUUUAAAAUCUGACCUUUCAAAUGCCAAGCUCCUUGCCUGCUUCUGUGGUGAAUGUGCAGAUAAAAACAUGUGGCUUUCUAAAAUUGACCGUGAAAAUUAUGUUUUCUUCAUCGGAUGAGAUGUUUUCCUUCCUAUGCAUCAUUACUUCUCAUAACUGUUCAGGACUAACGAGUUAUGAACCUAAUUUCUAUUUAUGUCCUGAGUUGUAUCUGGUGGUGAGAAACCCAUGGAGAACCUUCUGUAGAUCUGUUCAGUUGUAGAGGUUGGAGCCUGAUUUUCCAGAAGCUGGGGACGACCUGAACUGGCUCCAGCAGUUCUGAAAUACAGCAAAAGCAGCAUGGUUUUCCUCUAACAAAAGUGGUAGAUUCAAGAAGAUGCAGGAAUCAGGUUCAUCUAAGUGGCCAUAAAAUUCUGGAGAAAGUUAUUAAUUUCAAAUCACAAUAACAGUAAUUUCCAGUUACCACCAAUGAUGAGGUUGCUUAACCAUUCCUGGCAAGCAAUUGUUCAGUCUUAAGGAGCUUUAAAUUACUUCACAGUUUGAAAUUCCAGAUAAUGAGGCUACCAGGAUCCACGAUGCUGCUAUUAAAGAGGACUGGCUUCAAAGACUUUGAGAAAAAAAAUAGAAAUUUCCUCCUUCGUUGCUCAGGUUCUUCACUUACAGGGGUUCCUACAGCUACAUGAGUAGGAGAUGAGUCCCUUGGUUUCAACUGUAAAGGGGAAGACUGAAUGAGUUUGCCAGACGCAUCAAGUUAACAGUCAGUGAGCUGAGAAAAGCAGGACUACCAGUUACCUUUCUGCUUUCCAAAUCCAGGACCAGCAAGAAAUUAGUUUAGGUCAGCCUACAGGUAUAGAGUAUGCUUCACCUCCCAUGAACUGGGGAUGGGAAGCGAAGGAAAGAGUGCUGCAGGGCUGCUGAUUGUCUGCUCUCCAAAGACUUCCUGUUAAGGGGAAUCCUCAGUUGUCCAUUUAGGGUAGUAUUAUAGCUGCACCAAGCUGCUGAGACAUGCAAAGAAGCUGCAGAUGGGGCUGAGAGUACAGCUUGAUACUUUUCUGUUGAGCCACCCAUUUACAGCAUCCUCAAAUGCCUGCUAGAGGUGGGUACUAAGACUGCUGGUAAUGGCUAAAGGGAAAGCAGGGGGUCUGGUUUUAAUAAAAAGGUAGUUUACGAACAGCAUUUUUCUUAUUAUAAUGAUAAAAUGGAUAUGAAACAGUUA